CGGGAAUUUUGGGCAACGGGCGAAAGCCUGACCCAGCAACGCCGCGUGAGGGAUGAAGUAUUUCGGUAUGUAAACCUCGAAAGAAUGGGAAGAAUAAAUGACGGUACCAUUUAUAAGCUCCGGCUAACUACGUGCCAGCAGCCGCGGUAAUACGUAGGGAGCAAGCGUUGUUCGGAUUUACUGGGCGUAAAGGGCGCGUAGGCGGCGCGGUAAGUCACUUGUGAAAUCUCUGAGCUUAACUCAGAACGGCCAAGUGAUACUGCUGUGCUAGAGUGCGGAAGAGGCAACCGGAAUUCUUGGUGUAGCGGUGAAAUGCGUAGAUAUCAAGAGGAACACCUGAGGCGAAGGCGGGUUGCUGGGCCGACACUGACGCUGAUGCGCGAAAGCCAGG
rnacentral:rRNA from 1 species